UCAGGCUCUAUGGGGAUGGCUAUAUACUUUCACCCCUUGCUAAAGGACAUGCGUGAGGACAUCUUGCUCUUUGGAAUACAGCUUUUGCUUGAACUUCCAGUAAAAGGAACAGUUAGAAUCAAAAGAAAAGUAUGCAGGACAUCCAACUAUGGUUUGAAGAUAGAAGCAAGAACAGUACUAUUUGAUUUAUUGGAAGGAAUAUGUCCCAGAAAACCACAUAUGGAAAUCAGAAGAAGAGGCCACGUUCUCUGUCUAAUUAAAGUUUUGUCAUAGGGCUUUGCACUGGAGGAGAACCUUAUGAAGAAGUGUGUAUUUAUUGCUUCAAGAGGUGCUCUCUUCAAGACUGGCUGAAUGAUAUAAUGGGUAAAAAGCUGGCCUUGGAGUCAGGUAAGACAUGGGUUCAAGUCCAACCUCUAAUGCAUACUGGCUGCAUGAUCCAAGGAAAAUAUAUUAUUUUAAACUAUCAGUACCUGAGGCAACUCUCUAAGACUGUAAGCUAGGCCCUGUUCUCAUUGGAAGGAUUUUCUCACUGAGAGAUCCCUAAACUGAAGAAACCACAGGUCCAGUUCAUCCUUCCCCCAAAUCUAUACUUCAAAAACACACACAAAAUGUAAAAUUUUUAUCACACAUUAGUACCUGUCACAUAGCAGAUCCUUAAUAAAUGCUGGAUAACUUUUUUCCAUUAAAAGGGCAAUUUGACAUAUAGUAUAUGAAUGGAUGCAUUUUUAUUUUAUUUUAAUAAU